GCUGUGUUUGCUCUGGUAAGGAGGCCUCUUGCGCAGCAGGUGCUCCCAACCCCCAGCUCCAACUCCAACCGAAACACACACGCACACACACACACUAAGCACGUGCCCAAGUCAACAAAGGACGUUUAUGGCUUCUGGUGAAAGAUCCCACCCCUUCCACUUUACCUCUAAACCACAACACUGUUCCUAUAGGCCGGCUCCCUGUAGGCAGUGCCAGCCGGUAGUGCCAGAGCUUCUGCACUGCCCCCCUUGCCCUCAGCCUUUAAAAGACAGAGCACCUAGUCACACUGACAUUAUACACCCUCACACUCUCUCACACACACUCACACACACUCUUUGAGAAUAACUCUGUCUGGUGUGGGAGCGCUGCUGCUGCUGGAACACUAUAAGAGGAACACUGCACUGACUGACUGACAGCUGGUAUACCUGUGUCUGCUCUGCUCUUCUGAGAAAAGAAUAUUAAACCUGAUCCAAUCUCCAUCUUUACCAAUCAACACAUCUAUCUUAUCCCUCGACCAAUCGAAAACUUCUGUAUCUUUCGUCACUCCCUCCCUGUUAGAGCCAUGGUUCUGUGUGAGGAUCUGGAGUGUGGCGUGUGUUUCCAGAGGUACUCCCGCAGCGAGCGAGUUCCCAGAAUGCUCUUCUGCCACCACACCUUCUGCACCACCUGUCUGGAGAAGAUAGCGGUGGAGCGCAGCAGCAUGAUGAACAUUCGGUGCCCGAUGUGUCGCCAGGUGUCCUGUGUGCGCGGCGGGCUCAGCCUGCAGGAGGCACUGUGGGUCAACAGUCGGCUGUGGGACGGCAUUAGCGAGGACCAGGACCAGGAGGAGGAGGAGCUAAGCAGCGUCGCGGCAGCAGCACAAACUGAAUGUGGGUUAAGGCCGAGCCCCAAGCCACAUCGACCCAAACUCCACCUGCCUGCUUUCCUGAAGAAACUGAGUUUCCCCCGGCAGCCCCAGGAGAGCAUCGUUCCUGGAUGUAAUGUGCAGAUGAAGUCAUGGCGAAGGCUUUUGGGGGACGAGACGUGUUAAAGAGGUCGUACCACCGCGACCUCGCCACGCCACACAAUGAACUCUCAGUUUGUUUAGCUAUUGUUAUUUAAAGCGGUCCUGCCAUGUGCCUGCCAAUCAGAUCCGGAUUACGGGAUGGGAGCUGCAGCGGUGGACACUGGGCCGCACCGGGCCGCACCAGGCUGGGGGUCUGGAGGAGACAGUGACCCCCGCAGACCUCCUCCUGGCUCGGCCCUUCUCGGGCCACGGUUUCUGCAUGAAUAGCAUGAAUUGGGCCGGGUGCUGCCUUUAUAUCUGCAGGGAUCUCCUGAUUAUUAUUCCACCCAUAAUCCCUCACAGCUGCUGCGGCGGCGGGACCGGCUUCAGCUGUUCCAACAGAGCGAGGGAGGAACCGUGGCCCAGAUGCAGCGUGGAGCUGCAGGAACAGAUGGCCUCCCCUAAAAGAACUUCCCCCGUAUCUAAUUGGACCCCAGCGUAUCCACACAAACCCCUUUAACUUAUUAUAAGCUCUGUUAUUUAUGUAUUUAUAAAUUAUUCUGAA
rnacentral:lncRNA from 1 species